CUACGGGAGGCAGCAGUGAGGAAUAUUGGUCAAUGGGCGCAAGCCUGAACCAGCCAUCCCGCGUGCAGGAAGACGGCGCUAUGCGUUGUAAACUGCUUUUCCAGGGGGAGAAACUUGCGCACGUGUUGCGCAAUUGACGGUAC
rnacentral:rRNA from 1 species